ACCUAGGGGGUGGAGGUUGCAGUGAGACAAGGUCACGCCACUGCACUCCAGCCUGAGUGACAAGAGCAAAACUCCGUCUCAAAAGAAAAGACGAAAAAAAGUUUGUAGAUGCUGAGCAGAAGGCAACUUAAAUCUGAAAGAAAGAAGCGUCCACUCUGCUCCAGUCAACCCCACUGCUCGUGUCCUCUGCACUGCCUUGUACUCCCUGAAGAGAGCCUGGGCAACAGAGCAAGACUCCAUCUCAAAAAAAAAAAAAGGGACUAUGUAUAUAGAUUUACUACACUGAAGCCCUCCAGCAGUCUAAGAACUGAUGCCUCUUACGAAGAAAAGGACUGCAUGUUUCUGAUGAAGCUACCAUGACCUGCCAGACGUCCAAGGCCUGCCGAAAUUAAUCUAUUUGUCUGUGGUAGAAGAGGCCAUACCAUUGUGGCCCUUGAAACUUACUGUAUUAUGUUUUAUUUAGUGAACAGUUCACAUACCCAAAUGGUUGUAACUGAUACUGCUGAAUAUAUUGUAAGAACAGAAGUGUUAAGAAUGUAUAACACUUCUUUUGAUUGUAAGGAAUGUUCCCAGUGGAGAAAUGCCAUAAUU